rnacentral:rRNA from 1 species
GGAAUCACUGGGCGUAAAGGGUGCGUAGGCGGGUCUUUAAGUCAGGGGGGAAAUCCUGGAGCUCAACUCCAGAACUGCCUUUGAUACUGAAGAUCUUGAGUUCGGGAGAGGUGAGUGGAACUGCGAGUGUAGAGGUGAAAUUCGUAGAUAUUCGCAAGAACACCAGUGGCGAAGGCGGCUCACUGGCCCGAUACUGACGCUGAGGCACGAAAGCGUGGGGAGCAAACAGG